rnacentral:rRNA from 2 species
AGAGUUUGAUCCUGGCUCAGGAUGAACGCUGGCGGCGUGCCUAAUACAUGCAAGUCGAGCGAACGGACGAGAAGCUUGCUUCUCUGAUGUUAGCGGCGGACGGGUGAGUAACACGUGGAUAACCUACCUAUAAGACUGGGAUAACUUCGGGAAACCGGAGCUAAUACCGGAUAAUAUUUUGAACCGCAUGGUUCAAAAGUGAAAGACGGUCUUGCUGUCACUUAUAGAUGGAUCCGCGCUGCAUUAGCUAGUUGGUAAGGUAACGGCUUACCAAGGCAACGAUGCAUAGCCGACCUGAGAGGGUGAUCGGCCACACUGGAACUGAGACACGGUCCAGACUCCUACGGGAGGCAGCAGUAGGGAAUCUUCCGCAAUGGGCGAAAGCCUGACGGAGCAACGCCGCGUGAGUGAUGAAGGUCUUCGGAUCGUAAAACUCUGUUAUUAGGGAAGAACAUAUGUGUAAGUAACUGUGCACAUCUUGACGGUACCUAAUCAGAAAGCCACGGCUAACUACGUGCCAGCAGCCGCGGUAAUACGUAGGUGGCAAGCGUUAUCCGGAAUUAUUGGGCGUAAAGCGCGCGUAGGCGGUUUUUUAAGUCUGAUGUGAAAGCCCACGGCUCAACCGUGGAGGGUCAUUGGAAACUGGAAAACUUGAGUGCAGAAGAGGAAAGUGGAAUUCCAUGUGUAGCGGUGAAAUGCGCAGAGAUAUGGAGGAACACCAGUGGCGAAGGCGACUUUCUGGUCUGUAACUGACGCUGAUGUGCGAAAGCGUGGGGAUCAAACAGGAUUAGAUACCCUGGUAGUCCACGCCGUAAACGAUGAGUGCUAAGUGUUAGGGGGUUCCGCCCCUUAGUGCUGCAGCUAACGCAUUAAGCACUCCGCCUGGGGAGUACGACCGCAAGGUUGAAACUCAAAGGAAUUGACGGGGACCCGCA